CAGAGUCUAUGUUGUGAAAAGAGGGCACAGGGAGUCCCAUUGAGAAGAUCGCUGUUGCGCUGAAAGUUUGGAAGAAGUUAGCUGUAGGAACACAGUUGGUGUCUAAUGCACCCGUCAUUUGACAAUAUCAAUGAAGAGUGUGCUAGUGCUGUUGCUGCUGCACAUCCGCCUUGUUGUCUGAGCUUC
ensembl:ncRNA F46F6.6 ncRNA